UAAUAAGUGCUAUCAUGUGAAUUAUUUCCUUAAGUCCUCAUAAUGAUACCUGUUAAGCAGGCAUUAUUAAUCCACUAUUUAGAUGAGGAAACUGAACUUUGGAGAGGUUAAGUGAUUUUCCCCAUACAAGUUAUUUCCUCAAAACAAUCACUUGUGCUUGAUUGCAGGCUAUUCAGUGUAAGCAUGGCUCACCUCUUGCCACUUCUCUAGGAUUCAGAAAGGGCUUGGCUCACAACAGACAAAAAUGACUUAAAGAAAAUCAACAGUGAAAAAAAUAAAAAGAAGUAUACCUGAUGAUGGUGAAGGAGCAAAAGGAGCUUACUGUUUCUGGAAACUGCCUAGUGUGUUGGCUUUGUGAAAAUGAAAUCAAUAAGCUUUGAAGUUGACUCAGCUGCCUGCUUCUCAGAAAAAUGGAAGGUCAACGGAUGAGUCUCUUAAAAGAUUAAGCUUAAAAAGACAGAAAUCUAUCAUGUAAACCUGGCUGCAAAAAAUGUCUUUAUGAUUUUAAACAAAGAAAGUUGUGAAUGUCCACUUCUCAGGAAGUUAAGAGAUUAAAAGCAUAUCUCACUUUCUCAGCCAUUAAAAUAUAACAAAAACCCAUUUCCUACUUUUCCAAUGUGCUGGAAAAUCGAUUAGGUAAUGUCUGCAAAAGCUUUCCGGUAUAACAUGUUAUCUCACUGCUAAGCGUUAUUUUAUUUAAAUUUGUUUCUGCUUCCUUUCUGGCAACUCCCAUGUCUAUCUGGGAUGCAGCGAUGGAGAUUAUUAAUUACCUGCAAUUUUAUAAGCCUGAAAAUUCUCAGGAGCAGGAAAGUUUAAAAAGAUAGAAAUGAAAAUUUGGGUACAUUCAGACAGAGGCUCAUUUAAAUGUCAAAAUAAUUAUUCCAAAUCAAAAAGAAUCAAAAUAACCUGUCACCUCACAGCUCCUAAGGGGAAGAGAAGGUGCUUUGUAAAGUCAAAAUGAUCCUAGUCAUUAAUAUACUUAACAUACUAAGGAAGAGCAAAAAUACAAAAAGGCAACAAUUUCAAAUAAUGUGGUAAGUGUAUGUGCAUUCAAUCAUGUCCAACUCUUUACGACCCCGUACAGUUUAAUGGCAUGGGAAUGUAAUGGCAUGAGAGAAACCAGAGAUCAAACUGUUAACAUCCGUUGGAUCAUCAAAAAAGCACGAGAAUUUUUAAAAAAAUAUCUACUUCUGCUUUAUUGACUACACCAAAGCCUUUGAUUGUGUGGAUCACAACAAACUGUGGAAAAUUCUUCAAGAGAUGGGAAUACCAGACCACCUGACCUGCCUCUUGAGAAAUCUCUAUGCAGAUCAAGAAGCCACAGUAAG
ensembl:lncRNA